UUUCCCUUCCUUCCACUGCCGCCCGCCCUGACAAGCAAGCAGCACAGGGGCAGCUUCGCCCACUUUAGAACUUCCCCUUCUGUGUCUCUCUGGGCUUUACAACUGAGAAACCAUGGUGAUUGAGCGUCCCCUCUUUGUCGCCCAUGGCGCCUCCAGUUUUCAGCAUCCAUACAUUGGUUUUGUCUCCUAGUCUUGCCUUUCUAUGUAUGUAUGUAUGUAUGUAUGUAUGCAUACUCUUAUUUUACUCUCGGGCCCUCAUUCUGAUAUUUUCUGGGUUCCUGAGAAUUAGACCCAAGUUUUAUUUCUCUGGCAUACUGCUGCAAUAUGAGCGGCAAGAGGCUGAAUUCCCAUUGCUUCCUCUCUUCCUCCUCCUUGUCAUCCUCCGUCUUCACCACUGGUAGAAGGAGGCGAUUCAGUGCUUGUCCUUUACCUGUAGAACCUCCCGAUCCUUCGGCGUUUUCUACCGCCACUCCUGACCACAAAUCUAUGUGCUUUUCCCUAUUGGACCGGCUCAUUCGCGGCGGCUUUCUGUCCUGUGCGCACCGCGUUGUUCAGCGGGUUAUACUUCAGUCUUCGUCGCUGCCAGAAGCAAUCUCCGCAAUCGAUUUCGCUACUGUUCGGGGUAUGGAAAUCCAGCCCUGCGGCUAUGCUGCCCUCGUUCGGAAACUUGUGAAUUUUGGUGAAUUUCAGAUGGCCAAGGCCCUGUACAAGGACACCAUUGUUAGCAGAGGUAUUAUGCCCGAUUCAUUGAUAUUGAAUUCUAUGGUAAACUGUUAUAGCAAGUUAGGUGAAUUGGAGGAAGCAAAGAGCCUUUUUCAUAGGCUGAUUUCAAUGGAAUCCGAAUCUUAUACUGGGGCUUGCAGUGUACUCAUACAGGAGCUCUGUGCCCAAGCUAGAGUCCUGGAGGCGUUCGAAUGCUUUAUAAGCAUCAAUGAUACUGGAAUUGUGCUGGAUGCUCGGUGCUGCUGUGUGCUGGUUGAUAAGUUGUGCCUAAGAGGGUAUUUAGACGAAGCCCUCGACGUGUUUGGUAUAAUGAAUGACAGAGGGGUUCCGUGUUCUAUUUAUCUGUACAAAUUGUUAUUUUAUGGUUUUUGUAAGAGAGGGCGGGUUGAAGAAGCUGAGUUGUUGAGUACAGAAAUGGGGUCCCAGGGGAUAUUUUUGGAUAAACUUAUGUACACUAGUCUUAUUAAUGGAUACUGCAGGGGCAAGAAAAUGAAAAUGGCUAUGAGGAUAUUUAUGAAAAUGAGGAAGACAGGAUGUGAGCCUGAUAUUUAUACUUACAACACAUUGAUACACGGUUUUUUCAAUUUGGGUUUGCCAGACAAAGGUUGGGUUAUACAGAACCUGAUGGUAGAAUCAGGAAUACAACCUGAUGCAGUAACUUAUCACGCUAUGAUUAGAAAGUACUGUAAGGAGAAGAGAGCUGAUUGUGCUCUGAUGCUUUUAGAUAACAUGAGUCAUAGCAGUGCAGCUCUAUCAGUGCAUUGUUACACUACCUUAAUUGCUGCUCUUGUUAAAGAGAAUAAGUUCAUGGAAGUUGGUGACUUAUACUAUAAGAUGCUGGAUGGUGGGGUUGUUCCUGACCAUGUCAUGUUUUUAACCCUUAUGAAGAUGUACCAAAAGGGGCAUGAGCUUAAUCUUGCACUAAUGCUAUUGCAGGCAGUUGCCAAGGUUGGGUGUGGCCUUGAUAUAUCUUCCUUUCCCGAAUUUGCUAUUUCUGAUCCUAAUAGAGAUCUGGAGCUAGAAAUUGAUAAUCUGUUGGGGGAAAUUGUGAAAAGCAAUACUAAUUUAGCUGUUGUGGCUUUCAGUAUCUACAUACUUGCUUUAUGUGUUGCAAGGAAGAGUGAAGUUGCUUUUCUUUGCAUGGAUAAAAUGCUCAGUCUUGGAUGCCAGCCCUUGCUUUCUAAUUACAACUCCUUGAUCAAGUGUUUGUGCCAGGAGGGUCUUUUUGAGGAUGCAAAGUCAGUAUACAAUCUCAUGCAAGACCGGGGGUUGGUUCCUAAUUUGGCCACUUACCUAAUAAUGGUCAGUGAACAUUGUAAGCGUGGUGAUGGGAUAGCGGCUGUUGAUGUUCUUCACCAGAUGGAUGAUAGAGGACUGAAGCCUAGUGUUGCUAUUUAUGACUGUAUUAUAGGUUGUUUAGGAAGGCAAAAGAAAAUAUUUCAAGCUGAAUAUAUGUUUAAGCACAUGCUCGAGGCUGGUACUGACCCCGACGAGAUAAUUUAUGUAACCAUGAUCAAUGCCUACUCCAAGAAUGGAAGAGCUAUUCGAGCCCGCCAACUAUUUGAUAAUAUGGUAGAAUGUGGCAUCCAGCCAAGUUCUCAUGCUUACACUGCACUUAUAAGUGGGUUAAUCAAGAAGAACAUGAUUACAAAGGGUUGUCUGUACCUUGAUAGGAUGUUGAAAGAUGGUCUUGAGCCAAAUAAUGUGCUUUAUACAUCUCUUAUCAAACAAUUUUUGAGGAAGGGAGAAGUAGAAUUUGCUUUGUCAUUGGUUGAUUUGAUGGAGAAUUGCCAGAUUGAGCAUGAUCUGCUCACUUAUAUCACAUUAUUCAGUGGUGUUUGCAGAACUAUUAGAUGCACCAAUUCAAGCUGGCAUCUUGCACAUAAAAAUGGUGAACAGGGGAGGGAACUGUUGUUCCAUUUGCUGCAUCGGAAAAGUUUGGUGCCAGGGAAACAUAUUCUCAGAAUUUCUCUGAGAUCUUUUGAGGAAAUAAAAUUGAUUGCAUUAAAGUUGAUGAAUAAAAUUGAAGGAACUAAAUUUGUCCCAAACUUGUACUUGUAUAAUUGCAUGAUUUCUGGACUUUGUUGGAUAAACGAGAUGCAUGAUGCAUAUUAUUAUCUUGAAUUGAUGCAAAGAAAGGGUGUACAUCCCAACCAAGUGACUUUCACUGUUCUCAUCAAUGGGCAUAUCCAAAAUGGUGAAAUUAAUUUUGCUAUCAGUUUGUUUAAUACCAUGAAUGCAAAUGGUUUUAUUCCUGAUAGAAUUGUCUACGACUCCUUGAUAACGGGCCUUUGUGAGGCUGGAAGACUGGUUGAUGCAUUGUUGUUGUCACUUAAGAUGCAAAAAAGAGGGCUUUUCCCUUCCAAGGUUUCUUAUGAACAUUUACUGGGUGGCCUUUGUGCCAAUCAUUCAAGUACUCUUGCUUUGAGAAUAUGUGAAGAUAUGCUUGCCCAUGAUUUUAUACCUUGCCAGUAUAAUCUUAACUUGUUGCUUUGCUUGUUAUCUGAAGAAGAAAAGUUGCAUGAAGCUCGGCUAAUACAUGAUAUGGUGCUCUUGAAAAGAAGUUGGAUUAGAUGAUAUUCAAAUGAGGAAAAUAUCUUGAGCAUUUGGAAAAGAGCCUAGUGAUUGAUCUUGCCAUAUGCAAACAGAACAGGGACUGGUUUCAUUGUUGAAGAAAUAUCCUUCUUGCUUUGAAGAUUUGGAAUUUGUCCUCUGUACAACUAUACAGAGAUAUACUUGGAAAAAGAUGGAGUGCUCUUUGAGAACUCUCCUAAGGUACUUUGAGCAGAAGAAAAUGGAGUUUCAAAGAAGGAAGAGAGAGAUGGUGGGAUGAUACACAAAGAAAGACAAUGGAGUUUGAUUUUGACCCCCACUCCUGACCACAAGUCUCCACGCCCAUCGCUGCCGGCCGCAAUUUCGUCACUGUUCGGGUAUGAAAAUCCAGCCCUGUGGCUGUGCUGCCCUCCUUCGGAAACUUGUGCCCUGUACACUGACAGCACUGUUAGCAGAGGUGCUUACAGUGCACUAUUUCGGGAUCUCUGGCUCCAAGAUGAGGAGUUGUCUUCUUGAAGGCGUUUGAAUACGCUUGCUUCAUUGGGACCAAUGUUUCUGGACUUGUUAUGCUGGGUGGUUGCCUUGGCCCUGCGACGUGAUACAUGAUAAGAGGGGAGGGGUGGCAGUUGGCGCCAAGAAGACAAAGUCGGCCGGCGGAAAUCCUUAGAAGACGACGUCUCCAGCUGCGACGUCGUUUGCGGCGUAACCUGAGCGCGUGAAGUGUAAUUUUAGCUAGAAAAAGGAGGACAAACGGAAUCAAAUCAGAAACAAGCAAUCAAAAUGCUCCGGAGAUAUCGAUCACAGUGUCCGCUUCCAUCCCGCCAUCGUCGUAGACUUCAAAAAGAAAAGAAGAAAAAAGUACGAAAGAAAAUUCACAGGAGUCAAAACACAAAGGCCUGGCUGAUACCGGUUUGCUGUCUGCCCGAGCUCGUUGAUGGUUUGGAAGGGAAUGGUUUUUAGUAAGAUAUGAUCAAAAUAAAGCUACAUAAAAUCUUAGUUUGGUAGGCAAAAUGGUUGAACAGGAGAUAGAAAUAGUUGAAGAUGCAUAAAUUGGUCAUUGUGGUGCUUCAAAUUUGAAUGCUAUAGUGUUCAGGCAUUUUGGGGUUCUCUAAAGAAGUUUCCUGCUCCAAAUAAAUUUAGUUUCAGCCUUUAACCUGGUAUAUUCUUUCCUUUGGUGAUCACCAAGUGCAAUCAAAUCAGAGCUUGAUAGACUUACUUGGGACGUGUUAAGUUGUAAGUCUA